UGAGGAAUAUUGGUCAAUGGAGGCAACUCUGAACCAGCCAAGUCGCGUGAAGGAUGACGGCCCUACGGGUUGUAAACUUCUUUUUUAAGGGAAUAAAGUGAGCCACGUGUGGCUUUUUGCAUGUACCUUACGAAUAAGGAUCGGCUAACUCCGUGCCAGCAGCCGCGGUAAUACGGAGGAUCCGAGCGUUAUCCGGAUUUAUUGGGUUUAAAGGGUGCGCAGGCGGAAGAUUAAGUCAGCGGUGAAAGUUUGCAGCUUAACUGUAAAAUUGCCGUUGAAACUGGUUUUCUUGAGUGUAUAUGAAGUAGGCGGAAUUUGUAGUGUAGCGGUGAAAUGCAUAGAUAUUACAAGGAACUCCAAUUGCGAAGGCAGCUUACUAAAAUACAACUGACGCUCAGGCACGAAGGCGUGGGUAUCAAACAGG
rnacentral:rRNA from 2 species